rnacentral:rRNA from 1 species
AUGGCGGGCGUGCUACCAUGCAAGUCGAACGGGCCAUCUUUCGGGGUGGUUAGUGGCGGACGGGUGCGUAACACGUGGGUGACCUGCCCUAGAGUGGGGAAUAAUUCCGCGAAAGCGGGACUAAUACCGCAUACGUUCAAGGAUUCAGUUCCUUGAGUAAAGCCUUCGGGCGCUUUAGGAUGGGCCUGCGGCGGAUUAGCUAGCUGGUGGGGUAAUGGCCCACCAAGGCGAUGAUCCGUAGGGGGCGUGAGAGCGUGACCCCCCACAUUGGCACUGAGACACGGGCCAAACUCCUACGGGAGGCAGCAGUGAGGAAUAUUGCACAAUGGGCGAAAGCCUGAUGCAGCAACGCCGCGUGAGGGACGAAGGCCUUCGGGUCGUAAACCUCUUUUCUGGGGGACGAGACAAGGACGGUACUCCAGGAAUAAGUCUCGGCUAACUACGUGCCAGCAGCCGCGGUAAAACGUAGGAGGCGAGCGUUAUCCGGAUUUACUGGGCGUAAAGCGCACGCAGGCGGCUUCGUGAGUCGGAUGUGAAAGCUCCUGGCUUAACUGGGAGAGGCCAUUCGAUACUGCGGGGCUUGAGGUUGGGAGAGGGGUGCGGAAUUCCCGGUGUAGUGGUGGAAUGCGUAGAUAUCGGGAGGAACACCAGUGGCGAAGGCGGCACCCUGGCCCACACCUGACGCUGAGGUGCGAAAGCGUGGGUAGCAAACAGGAUUAGAUACCCUGGUAGUCCACGCCGUAAACGAUGUCAACUACGUGUUGGUAGUGUUACACUAUCAGUGCCGAAGCAAACGCGUUAAGUUGACCGCCUGGGGACUACGGCCGCAAGGCUAAAACUCAAAGGAAUUGACCGGGGGCCCCGCCAC